rnacentral:rRNA from 1 species
UAGGAGGCAGCAGUGGGGAAUAUUGCACAAUGGGCGCAAGCCUGAUGCAGCCAUGCCGCGUGUAUGAAGAAGGCCUUCGGGUUGUAAAGUACUUUCAGUCGUGAGGAAGGUGUUAAGGUUAAUAACCUUAGCAAUUGACGUUAGCGACAGAAGAAGCACCGGCUAACUCCGUGCCAGCAGCCGCGGUAAUACGGAGGGUGCGAGCGUUAAUCGGAAUUACUGGGCGUAAAGGGCACGCAGGCGGUUAAUUAAGUUGGAUGUGAAAUCCCCGGGCUUAACCUGGGAAUGGCAUUCAAGACUGGUUAGCUAGAGUCUUGUAGAGGGGGUAGAAUUCCAUGUGUAGCGGUGAAAUGCGUAGAGAUGUGGAGGAAUACCGGUGGCGAAGGCGGCCCCUGGGACAAAGACUGACGCUCAUGUGCGAAAGCGUGGGGAGCAAACAGGAUUAGAUACC